rnacentral:rRNA from 1 species
UUGCCGUAGCAAUACGGUGAUGGGCGCACGGCGCACGGGUGCGUAACACGUGGGCAAUCUGCCCUUUGAUGGGGAAUAACCCGCCGAAAGGCGGGCUAAUUCCGCAUAAGAUUCCCGGAACUUCGGUUCUGGGAUUGAAAGCAGCAAUGCGUCGAAGGAGGAGCCCGCGCCCGAUUAGCUAGUUGGUGAGGUAACGGCUCACCAAGGCUAUGAUCGGUAGCUGGUCUGAGAGGAUGAUCAGCCACACUGGAACUGAGACACGGUCCAGACUCCUACGGGAGGCAGCAGUGGGGAAUCUUGCACAAUGGGCGAAAGCCUGAUGCAGCGACGCCGCGUGGGGGAUGAAGCAUUUCGGUGUGUAAACCCCUUUCGACUGGGAAGAAUACCUCGCAAGAGGGGUGACGGUACCAGUAGAAGAAGCCCCGGCUAACUACGUGCCAGCAGCCGCGGUAAGACGUAGGGGGCCAGCGUUGUUCGGAAUUACUGGGUGUAAAGGGUUCGUAGGCGGUGCGGCAAGUUGGGAGUGAAAUCUCUGGGCUUAACCCAGAGGCUGCUUCCAAAACUGCUGUGCUCGAGUGUGAGAGAGGCUCGUGGAAUUGCAGGUGUAGCGGUGAAAUGCGUAGAUAUCUGCAGGAACACCCGUGGCGAAAGCGGCGAGCUGGAUCACUACUGACGCUGAGGAACGAAAGCUAGGGGAGCAAACAGGAUUAGAUACCCUGGUAGUCCUAGCCCUAAACGAUCAGGACUUGGGGUGCCGCCCGUUCGGGCGUCGUCCCGGAGCUAACGCGUUAAGUCCUGCACCUGGGGAGUACGGUCGCAAGACUGAAACUC